rnacentral:rRNA from 1 species
GUCCACGCUGUAAACGAUGGAUGCUAGACGUGGUGGGUCUUGACCCCUGCCGUGUCGAAGUUAACACGAUAAGCAUCCCGCCUGGGAAGUACGGUCGCAAGACUAAAACUCAAAGGAAUUGACGGGGGCCCGCACAAGCAGUGGAUCAUGUGGUUUAAUUCGAAGCAACGCGAAGAACCUUACCUGGGUUUGACAUCCUCUGAAUAAUUUAGAGAUAGAUUAGGCUCGCAAGAGACAGAGAGACAGGUGCUGCAUGGCUGUCGU